CCCGGAAGUUAAGUGCCGUCGCGCUGAUGGUACUGCGGCUUAAGUCGUGGGAGAGUAAGUCGCCGCCAGAC
rnacentral:rRNA from 1 species